AGAGUUUGAUCAUGGCUCAGAUUGAACGCUGGCGGCAUGCUUAAUACAUGCAAGUCGAACGGUAACAGGUCCUUCGGGAUGCUGACGAGUGGCGGACGGGUGAGUAAUGCAUAGGAAUCUGCCCAGUAGUAGGGGACAACCUGAGGAAACUCAGGCUAAUACCGUAUAAGUCCUACGGGAGAAAGGGGGCCUCUUCUUGAAAGCUCUCGCUAUUGGAUGAGCCUAUGUCGGAUUAGCUUGUUGGUGGGGUAACGGCCUACCAAGGCGACGAUCCGUAGCUGGUCUGAGAGGGCGAUCAGCCACACUGGGACUGAGACACGGCCCAGACUCCUACGGGAGGCAGCAGUAGGGAAUAUUGGACAAUGGGCGAAAGCCUGAUCCAGCAAUGCCGCGUGUGUGAAGAAGGCCUGCGGGUUGUAAAGCACUUUCAGUUGGGAAGAAAAUCUUUAGGUUAAUAUCCUAAAGUCUUGACGUUACCAACAGAAGAAGCACCGGCUAACUCUGUGCCAGCAGCCGCGGUAAUACAGAGGGUGCGAGCGUUAAUCGGAAUUACUGGGCGUAAAGCGUGCGUAGGCGGUUAAGUCAGUCGGAUGUGAAAGCCCAAGGCUUAACCUUGGAACGGCAUUCGAUACUGCUUAGCUAGAGUACAGUAGAGGGAAGC
rnacentral:rRNA from 1 species